rnacentral:misc_RNA from 1 species
AAGUCGUAACAAGGUUUCCGUAGGUGAACCUGCGGAAGGAUCAUUAAAAACUUUUAUCCGGGAAUUCGUUUCGUCUUCCCGGAUUAUUUGUAUUCAAAUCCCACUCUUUAUAAAAUAUAUCAAUUAUAUAAAACAAUAUAAAAAAGAAAACUUUCAACAACGGAUCUCUUGGCUCUC